AUCUCACAAAAAAUAAAGUCGCCAUGGUGUCGUUCCAACAGUUGAGUUUGUAGGACAAAUUUGGUCCUGCAGUUCGUGCUGAUAUGGUCGACUUCCUCUUGUGAGGAGUGGCGCAGAUCAAGCUGGGUUGACCAGCGUCAUAGCUUAAAACCAUCGUGAAGUCGUUGCUUUUGCAGAAUGGCUCGUGAUGACCGAAUGCUUCGUACAUUUU
rnacentral:snoRNA from 21 species